rnacentral:rRNA from 1 species
AUGGCAUUGCUUCGUGAUCUUUGGAUGCCAAGUAGUCAAUGUUAUAUCACAGGACCGGUUUGGCCAACUAUUGAGGUAGAGAAUUUUGAGCUGAAGCCUGGUCUUAUUCCUUUGGUUCAACAACAUCAGUUUGGAGGGUUGCCUAAUGAAGAUCCUUACGAGCAAUUGCUCCGAGUCAUGGAGUACUCAGAUACAGUAAAGUACCAUGGAGUUCCUCAAGAAGCUAUCAAGUGCAUGCUAUUCACAUUCUCUCUCCGAGAUGGUGCUCGUGCUUGGUAUCGAUCCUUGCCAUCAAGAUCAUUCGGUUGGAAUGAGAUAUCAUGA